ACGGAAGGCAGCAGUGGGGGAUAUUGCACAAUGGAGGAAACUCUGAUGCAGCAACGCUGCGUGAGGGAAGAAGGUCUUCGGAUUGUAAACCUCUGUUUUUAGUGACGAAACAAAUGACGGUAGCUAAAGAGGAAGCCACGGCUAACUACGUGCCAGCAGCCGCGGUAAUACGUAGGGGGCAAGCGUUGUCCGGAUUUACUGGGUGUAAAGGGUGCGCAGGCGGGACUGCAAGUUGGAUGUGAAAUGCCAAGGCUUAACCUUGGAACUGCAUCCCAACCUGUAGUUCUUGAGUGGAGUAGAGGUAAGCGGAAUUCCGAGUGUAGCGGUGAAAUGCGUAGAUAUUCGGAGGAACACCAGUGGCGAAGGCGGCUUACUGGGCUCUAACUGACGCUGAGGCACGAAAGCAUGGGUAGCAAACA
rnacentral:rRNA from 1 species